rnacentral:rRNA from 1 species
AUUGAACGCUGGCGGCAUGCCUUACACAUGCAAGUCGAACGGCAGCACGGGGGCAACCCUGGUGGCGAGUGGCGAACGGGUGAGUAAUGCAUCGGAACGUGUCCUCUUGUGGGGGAGUAACCAGUCGAAAGAUUGGCUAAUACCGCAUGAGAUCGAGAGAUGAAAGCGGGGGACCCGAGGGUAACUUCGGGCCUCGCGCGAGAGGAGCGGCCGAUGCCGGAUUAGCUAGUUGGUGGGGUAAGAGCCUACCAAGCGACGAUCCGUAGCUGGUCUGAGAGGACGACCAGCCACACUGGGACUGAGACACGGCCCAGACUCCUACGGGAGGCAGCAGUGGGGAAUUUUGGACAAUGGGCGCAAGCCUGAUCCAGCCAUG